rnacentral:rRNA from 1 species
UACGUAGGCAGCAAGCGUUGCUCGGAAUUACUGGGCGUAAAGAGUGUGUAGGCGGUGCUCCAAGUCUGGUGUGAAAUCUCCCGGCUUAGCUGGGAGGGUGCAUUAGAAACUGGAAUGCUAGAGGAUGGGAGAGGUAAGCGGAAUUCCUGGUGUAGCGGUGAAAUGCGUAGAUAUCAGGAGGAACACCUGUGGUGUAGACAGCUUACUGGACCAUUUCUGACGCUGAGACACGAAAGCGUGGGUAGCAAACAGG